UUUCUAUCGGGACGUCCUGGGGAUGAAGGUGCAGGCCGGGGCCGACAGGGGCUGGCGCGCGAGGCUGGAACCGGCGCCCGAGCCGGCCCUGGCGGAGGGAGGGGAAAAUGGGUGUGUCGUGAACCUAAGCCGGAGGGUGUCCGACCUUAGGCCCUGCGCGGUGUUCAGCUUCAGGAGCGUGGCGAGUUGCCGUUGGGGAUCAUAGGCCUUGGAGAAGGGCCUAACACGAUUAGUCCCCGCGGUGUGCCCACGCACGUCCUUUCAUUUAAGCCACUCGUAAACGUUUAUUGAGCCCCGCCCUUGUGGAGCUUACCGUCUACCGGAAAAGACGGUUCUGCGGCAUGAGGAAUUUGAAGAAGGCUGCAAAGCUGCCUGUAAUGGGUAUGAUACCUUGUUUCUUAAAAUCUCCUUUAGGCUCUGACUACACCCGGAUAACAGAAGACAGUUUCUCAAAGCCUUAUGAUGGGAAAUGGAGUAAAACAAUGGUGGGAUUUGGGCCUGAGGAUGAUCAUUUUGUCGCAGAACUGACUUACAAUUAUGGCGUCGGAGACUACAAGCUUGG
rnacentral:lncRNA from 10 species